rnacentral:rRNA from 1 species
UACGUAGGGUGCAAGCGUUGUCCGGAAUUAUUGGGCGUAAAGAGCUCGUAGGCGGUUUGUCGCGUCUGCUGUGAAAACUCAGGGCUUAACCCUGAGCUUGCAGUGGGUACGGGCAGACUAGAGUGCGGGUAGGGGAGACUGGAAUUCCUGGGUGAUAGCGGUGAAAUGCGCAGACUGCAGGAGGAACACCGGUGGGCGAAGGCGGUUCU